GGCAGUUCUCGGGUGACGAACCCCGGAAUCGGGCUCCCUUCUCUCUGGUUCCGGGUGCAUCACCCAGGAACUGCA
rfam:Myotis lucifugus cont2.59516, whole genome shotgun sequence.